rnacentral:rRNA from 1 species
AGUGGCGCACGGGUGAGUAACGCGUGGGAACCUACCUUUCGGUUAGGGAUAACAGUUGGAAACGACUGCUAAUACCGUAUACGCCCUCCGGGGGAAAGGUCAGCCGCUGAAAGAGGGGCCCGCGUCUGAUUAGCUUGUUGGUAGGGUAAAAGCCUACCAAGGCUUCGAUCAGUAGCUGGUCUGAGAGGAUGAUCAGCCACACUGGGACUGAGACAUGGCCCAGACUCCUACGGGAGGCAGCAGUCGGGAAUAUUGGACAAUGGAGGAAACUCUGAUCCAUCAAUGCCGCGUGUGUGAUGAAGGCCCUAGGGUUGUAAAGCACUUUCAACGGUGAAGAUGAUGACGGUAGCCGUAUAAGAAGCCCCGGCUAACUUCGUGCCAGCAGCCGCGGUUAUACGAAGGGGGUGAGCGUUGUUCGGAAUUAUUGGGCGUAAAGGGCGCGCACGCGGUUUGGAUAGUUAGACGAGAAAGCCCUGGGCUUAACCUAGGAACUGCGUUUAAUACUGCCUAACUAGAGAACUAGAGAGGAUAGCGGAACUCCCAGUGUAGAGGUGAAAUUCGUAGAUAUUGGGAAGAACAUCACUGGCGAAAGCGGCUGUCUGGCUAGUUUCUGACGCUGAGGCGCGAAAGCGUUGGGGAG